GUUGCUUUUGCUUAUCUAUUCCCUUUAGAUGUAUAUACAUGCACCGUAACAUUGCGGAUACUCAUACUACAGAAACAUGCUCGAUCAACCAGAAAACAUAGCAUUGCUCCAAUUCCUUCAAGUUAAGGACAAAACAACCUGACAGAUACACAGGAGCAGGUACCCUCUUUCGCGUCAAAGUCUCAACGGAAAUGGGUUUCCUCCUGUGCUAUCCUCUUUCGCGUCAAAGUCUCAACGGAAAUGGGUUUCCUCCUGUGCUUGCCUGGACGAGGUUGUGGUUGAUCGUCACAUCCGCGAAAACAACC
rnacentral:lncRNA from 1 species